GCAUGGAUAGCUCAGUUGGUUAGAGCAUGGUGCUGAUAAUGCCAAGGUUGCAGGUUUGAUUGUCAUAUGGAACAGCUGCA